AGGCUAACCUAGGAAGGAGCUCUCUGCUGCCCUGGUAGGUGAAGACUCAGAGAAGUGAAGGCAGUGGCCACAGUCGAACCAGCAUCUAGCUGACUGUGGAUCCCCUGCCCCUGACACCAUACGUGUUUCUUUUCUCCCCAAAAAGAUCGCUGUUCCAGCCAAGAGAGACAGACGACCGAAGCACUCAAAGGAAACCAAUCAGAAACUGCCAAGCCGCAGCAACACAGCUUUGCUUACCAAGGGAAUUCCCUGAUUACCCUGGAGAACAAGAAGCAUCACAGAUCCUCCCUUCUUGGGAGCCACACCUGAGCCUUUUAAAGGCGUCCGGCUAGCAUGGGGGGCAGAGCUCUAUCGAAACUGACUAUCACCCU
rnacentral:lncRNA from 1 species